GGUUGGAGUGUACAACGUUUCUGGCCUGCUCACCUCCUCUCCCCUUAAACACCAGGUUAUUUAUGUUCUUCUCUAAUCUCUACUGUAUUGUUCCUCUAAUUGCUUCCCCUUUCGAUUGCAGUACAUUUGGUUUCUGUUGAUCUCGUUUUCUUGGAUUGCGUAGUUCUAAUUCAUCAAGUUAUUUUCGUGAUUUUCCCUGUAUCAUGUCGGCCUUGACGAUGAGCGAGAGAUGGUUGAUGACCGCGGCGGGCGAUGCAAAGGAGGAGGCUGCGCCGUCAGCGGUUCAAGGAUGCAGAAGAUGAUGCGGAGGAGGCGGCCGAAAGGACGAGGCGGAGGGACCGGGGGACUGGAUCCUCGAUCGCAUGCCUAUCAGAUGGUGUGCGCCGCUACUGCUUCAUACCAGGCGUGAGCACACAAUUCGUGGGCAUCACCAGUUCCACUGCUCUGUCUGAAUGGCUCGGACCCCUCUUUGACCGACCUCCGCUGCCAUGAUCUCCGUCUCGCCAUGUGUCCUUGGUAUUCCUGUGAAUCAGUCCCUUUCUUAUGAAGAAUUUGGCGGGGCACUUGCCUACUGUAACUCUCUAAUAGUGAUGACUCCGAGACAACAAUCAGCAGUAGUUCAGUAAGUCUAGCAUAACAAGAAAAUUACGGAAUUUACAAACCUGAGGAAACUCCCUCGAUAAGGCAAGCUCCCACUAUCCAGUUACUCUUGGGACACUGGUUGUCAAAUAUCUCUGAAUUUGAACUUGAACUACUCAAACUGCAGAGAGUACACAAAGAAAAGUUUGAGGCAUUAAGAUUGAAUCUGUUAUAUUAGGCUUCAAGCUUUGACAGGUGCAGUCAAAGGUAAAGCUUUUGGCUGCUUUUAGUAGCUCUUGCGCUCCUAUAGUUUUUCAUCUCGCACGAAAGAAUGAGGGAUUACAGGUCCCAGUCUAGAUAAAGUGCAAAAUGACUGCCACCUCCUAGUGCCAAAUAGUCAGCACAGCACAAG